UACGUAGGGCGCAAGCGUUAUCCGGAAUUAUUGGGCGUAAAGAGCUCGUAGGCGGUUUGUCGCGUCUGCCGUGAAAGUCCGGGGCUCAACCCCGGAUCUGCGGUGGGUACGGGCAGACUUGAGUGCAGUAGGGGAGACUGGAAUUCCUGGUGUAGCGGUGAAAUGCGCAGAUAUCAGGAGGAACACCGGUGGCGAAGGCGGGUCUCUGGGCCGGUACUGACGCUGAGGAGCGAAAGCGUGGGGAGCAAACAGG
rnacentral:rRNA from 1 species